rnacentral:rRNA from 1 species
CGAGGCCGAAGGGCGUAGGCGAUGGACAACUGGUUGAAAUUCCAGUGCUGCCUCGGUCGCGCUUGAGCGAAGCGGGGACGCAGAAGGGUAGGCACAGCAGGCUGAUGGAAUAGCCUGUCCAAGCGAGUAGGGUGUCGCGUAGGCAAAUCCGCGCGACGUGAAGCCCAAGACGCGAGUGGGUGCGGAUACGUCCGCUGAACUGGCCGAUCCCAUGCUGCCAAGAAAAGCCGCUAGCGAGUGACCAGGCACCCGUACCGCAAACCGACACAGGUAGGCGAGGAGAGGAUCCUAAGGCGCGCGAGAGAACCCUCGUUAAGGAACUCGGCAAAAUGGCCCCGUAACUUAGGGAUAAGGGGCGCCCCGGUAAGGUGAAGGGCAACACGCCUGGAGCCCGAGGGGGCCGCAGUGAAACGGCCCGAGCGACUGUUUACCACAAACACAGGUCUCUGCUAAGUCGCAAGACGAAGUAUAGGGGCUGACGCCUGCCCAGUGCCGGAAGGUUAAGGGGAGGGCUUAGCGGCAACGCGAAGGUCUGAACCGAAGCCCCGGUGAACGGCGGCCGUAACUAUAACGGUCCUAAGGUAGCGAAAUUCCUUGUCGGGUAAGUUCCGACCUGCACGAAUGGCGUAACGACUUGGGCGCUGUCUCAACGAGGGGCUCGGCGAAACUGUAAGUGCACGUGAAGAUACGUGCUACCCACGACUAGACGGAAAGACCCCAUGGAGCUUUACUGCAUCCUGAGAUUGGAUUUUGGCAGGGCAUGUACAGGAUAGGUGGGAGGCUGAGAAACAAUGACGCUAGUUGUUGUGGAGCCACCCUUGGGAUACCACCCUUGUUUUGCUGGAGUUCUAACCCGCGGCCGUGAUCCGGCUGGGGGACAUUCUCAGGUGGGCAGUUUGACUGGGGCGGUCGCCUCCUAAAAGGUAACGGAGGCGCCCCAAGGUUCCCUCAGCGCGGUUAGAAAUCGCGCGCAGAGUGCAAAGGCAGAAGGGAGCUUGACUGCGAGACGUACAUGUCGAGCAGGGACGAAAGUCGGGCUUAGCGAUCAGGUGGUUCCGAGUGGAAGGGCCAUCGCUCAACGGAUAAAAGCUACCCUGGGGAUAACAGGCUUAUCUCUCCCAAGAGUCCAUAUCGACGGGGAGGUUUGGCACCUCGAUGUCGGCUCAUCGCAUCCUGGAGCUGAAGUAGGUUCCAAGGGUUGGGCUGUUCGCCCAUUAAAGCGGCACGCGAGCUGGGUUCAGAACGUCGUGAGACAGUUCGGUCCCUAUCUGUCGUGGGCGUAGGAGAUUUGAGGGGGUCGGUCCCUAGUACGAGAGGACCGGGACGGACGCACCUCCGGUGGACCGGUUGUCGCGCCAGCGGCAUAGCCGGGUAGCCGCGUGCGGUUUGGAUAAGCGCUGAAAGCAUCUAAGCGCGAAGCCAUCCCCAAGAUGAGAUCUCCCACAGGGUAACCUGGUAAGACUCCUUGAAGAACACGAGGUUGAUAGGCCGGGAGUGUAAGCGCGGCAACGCGCUGAGCGGACCGGUACUAAUAGGUCGAGGGCUUGACCUU